UACGGGGGGGGCAAGCGUUGUUCGGAAUUACUGGGCGUAAAGGGCUCGUAGGCGGCCAACUAAGUCAGACGUGAAAUCCCGUCGGCUUAACCGGGGAACGUGCGUCUGAUACUGGUUGGCUUGAGUGUGGGAGAGGGAUGCGGGAAUUCCAGGUGUAGCGGUGAAAUGCGUAGAUAUCGGAGGAACACCGGUGGCGAAGGCGGCAUCCUGGACCAUUACUGACGCUGAGGAGCGAAAGCCAGGG
rnacentral:rRNA from 1 species